rnacentral:lncRNA from 1 species
UUGUAAACAUAUUUGAACUAGAUUUAACUUUUUUCAUCCUAUUGUCUAAUGUGAAAAACUUUAUAAUUAUAAAUUAUAAAGCAAGACCUCCACACACAAAAAGACCAUUGAAACCCUCAAAGUAGAAAAAAAAUCAUCAGUACAUAUUGUUCGUUCUGAUCAAAUCAGCUGUAAAAUCCAUCAAAACAAUCACAACCAUACAUAACAGAUCGGACGGUCCACAUUCAGAACUGCGUGAAAACUGUGUGGAAUAUUACAGCGUGAAAUCUGCUUCCCAUAUUGUUGUACCUUUGUUUCAGGUUGUUGAUGUUCUUUUAUAUGAAUAAAAAUCAAUUCAAGUUCCUGGCUAAGCUGUGAAUCAUUGAAUGAGAGAUAUAGCUUAUUUAAAUCAUUGGAUUCUACCAAGCAAGAAAAUAUGAACAAGUUUCAUCAAGCCAGAAAACUGAAGAAGAUCAUCCAUCCUAGUUCUGAAAUAACUGCCUUAAGGUCACAAUGGCAGUGCUGCUGUAACAAGGUUGACUGCAACAAGGGAGCACUCGAUGAGGCUAUGACUGGACUGUGGAAGCGAAAGAACAACAUUGCUGUUAGAGAAGAAAAUGAUGCUUUAGAGAAGGCAGCUAUUGUACAGGAGAACACAAGGGAGCACUCUCAGUCUGCUCAAUGAUGUAUUUGUUUUAAUUCAAUUUAUAUUUUAAUCCCUAUUUGAUUCCUAUCUAUUUAUAUUUUAGUCACGAUUCUAGUCCACUUAAAUACAGGCCUACAAAGGAUGGUGGUUCUGUUUUUGUGGGUGAUGAGGAUAACCAUAGUCCUCAAACUAAUUAGAAUGAUUAUUAAAAGGAGCAUUACCAGCUGCAGGCAGCUUCCCCUGCGAAUUUCGUUGAUAAACCAGGACACAAGUUGGUUUUGAAAUUCUCUUCAAUUAAUUUUAUGACACAGUCGCUUCGCUUUUGUUAACACACCUGCAAAAAGAACUUAAGUGUAAAGAUCUGCAAAUAUCAUUGUUCGAGGUCGACAGAACAAGGAAACAAAAUCUCCAAUUAAGAUUGACCAACAGAACAAAGUCUCUAAAUUAAGAUUUAUCAUCGGAGACAUUCUAUCCACUAACACACCUAAGAUUUUUCCACUAGGCUUUUUAUUUUGGAGGAAAAUGUUUUUCCACUAGGCUAAUCGACAGCAUUUUAAUAUUCGACAUAACUGAUACGGUACUUUGGCCUUGUUUAGAAUACACACAGAGAAAAACUCAUGGAUUGAUUAAUUGAAGCCCUAUAUUGUGUGAUUAAUUUCAAAAAUGAAAAUAUAACAUACAUCGAGAGAACACAACUCAAAUGCAAAACAAAUAAGCUGCCAAAAAAACACACCUUUUCAACAACAAUGCUAGAAUUAGGAUUGCGGUAAUCUCCCGUUUUCCCAGAAGGGGUUCCAAAGCUAGCAACUUUUACAAGCCAAAAAGAUUUUUUUGUUAUUCGCCAUCUUAUUUUCACCUUAAGAAGGAGUCCAACUGAGGGGUGAUUCUUGGAAACAUGGACACACACUUGAGAUACUUUACGUCACGAACCUAAACUUUGUUGGAUCACCAUCUUUCUUCUCAAAGAUGACAAGAACAUUUCC